rnacentral:rRNA from 1 species
GAUCCUGGCUCAGGAUGAACGCUGGCGGCGUGCCUAAUACAUGCAAGUCGAACGCGGGCAGCAAUGCCCGAGUGGCGAACGGGUGAGUAAUACAUAAGUAACCUGCCCUUUACAGGGGGAUAACUAUUGGAAACGAUAGCUAAGACCGCAUAGGUAAAGAUACCGCAUGGUAAGUUUAUUAAAAGUGCCAAGGCACUGGUAGAGGAUGGACUUAUGGCGCAUUAGCUAGUUGGUGAGGUAACGGCU